rnacentral:misc_RNA from 1 species
GAUGAAGAACGCAGUGAAAUGCGAUAAGUAAUGUGAAUUGCAGAAUUCAGUGAAUCAUCGAAUCUUUGAACGCACCUUGCGCCCUUUGGCUAUUCUGAAGGGCAUGCCUGUUUGAGUAUCAUGAACACCUCAACUCUCAUGGUUUGCCAUGAUGAGCUUGGACUUUGGGGGUCUUGCUGGCCUACGGUCGGCUCCUCUCAAAUGAAUCAGCUUGCCAGUGUUUGGUGGCAUCACGGGUGUGAUAACUAUCUACGCUUGUGGUUUCCCACCAGGUAACCUUCAGUGAUGGAGGUUCGCUGGGGCUCAUAAAUGUCCCUCCACAGUGAGGACAGCUUUUGAACGUUUGAUCUCAAAUCAGGUAGGACUACCCGCUGAACUUAAGCAUAUCAAUAAGCGGAGGA